UACGUAGGGGGCUAGCGUUGUCCGGAAUCAUUGGGCGUAAAGAGCGUGUAGGCGGCUAGGUAGGUCCGUUGUGAAAACUCGAGCUCAACCUCGAGACGCCGGUGGAAACCAUCUAGCUAGAGUCCGGAAGAGGAGAGUGGAAUUCCUGGUGUAGCGGUGAAAUGCGCAGAUAUCAGGAGGAACACCGGUGGCGAAGGCGGGUCUCUGGGCCGAUACUGACGCUGAGGAGCGAAAGCGUGGGGAGCGAACAGG
rnacentral:rRNA from 1 species